AAGGUACGUAUAAAGGCUUUAGGCCACCCUACACUUUAUUGUAGGCCCAGUUUAAUAUGCAACUUAAUUUUGUACAAUAUACGUAGUAGAGGUUCCCAGCUCCGUCUCUCUUUUAGUUAAGGGUCCUUGGCUUAAAAAAAACGUUGAAGACCCCUGCCUUAAAGGACCAGCUGUGUGAAAUAUAA